CCGGGGCAGCGGGCGGCCGAAGGCACUUCCCCCGGACGGGCGGGCGGCCUCGCGCCGGAGCCCGCGCCCCGCACUGGUCUCAUCAAGGCGGCGCACGGUGCACCCAGGAGCAGAUGCCGUGCAUCCCUUCUGGAGUUUCUAGGGAGGAAUCCAGGCCUUUGCCUUUUCCGACUGCUGGAGGGCGCUGCAUUCCCGCUGAUAGCCCCAGGUUGGCAGAACUCGUCUCCUUGAAGAGGAGCCCCACAGUACCCCAACCUCUGCUUCUGCUGUCACAUCUCGUCUCACUCUGACCCUUCUAACUCUUCUAAGACCUCUGCGGUUACACUGGCCCACCUCGAUAAUCCAGGCUCAUCUUCCCAUCUCCAGGCCCUUAAUCACAUCUGCAAAGUCUGCUUCUUCCAAGUAAGCAUUUACACAGGAAGUUCCUACAACGAGGUGCUUGCCAGUCACCCUUCCCCAGAUCCCGAAUGCAACCCUGGCCAGGUGGCGCAGAGGACAGUCACUCUGCUGGUCAUGCUGAGCUCAUACUCUAAUGGCUGUUCCAUGAGGUCAAGACUGGGGCCCCUCCCUUCUCCCACUUUACCAAUGUCUGGUCUCAUGGGGUUAGCUUGGAGCCCAGCACGAUGGCAUCAUCAACCUCCUCCCCGGCUCCUGGCUCCAGGUCCAAGAAGCCUCUGGGCAAGAUGGCUGACUGGUUCAGGCAGGCCCUGUCGAGGAAGCCCACGAAGAUGCCCGCCUCCCCAGAAAGCGCCCUCAGUGACGUUUCACAGCCGAGCUCACUGGACAGCCCCCCAUCCCUGGGCCCCAGCUCAGAGGUGUCUCCCAUCCCUACACCGUCGCCUGGGGGCGCUAGCGGUGGCAGCGGCAGCAGCAGCAGCAACGGCCGCUGGAGCAAGGCCUAUGAUGUGUGCGUGUGCCACAGCGAGGAGGACCUGGUGGCUGCCCAGGAGCUUGUCUCCUACCUGGAGGGCGGCGCCGCCAGCCUGCGCUGCUUCUUGCAGCUUCGCGACGCCACCCCCGGCGGCGCCAUCGUGUCCGAGCUGUGCCACGCGCUCAGCAGCAGCCACUGCCGCGUGCUGCUGAUUACCCCCGGCUUCCUCCGGGACCCGUGGUGCAGGUACCAGAUGCUGCAGGCGCUGAGCGAGGCCCCCGGGGCCGAGGGCCGCACCAUCCCCCUGAUGUCCGGCCUCAGCAGAGCCGCCUACCCCGCGGAGCUCCGAUACAUGUACUUCGUGGACGGCCGCGGUCCCGAACGUGGCUUCCGCCAAGUCAAGGACGCUGUCAUGCGGUACCUGCAGACCCUUGGCUGAUGCUUGAUCCAUCACCACAGCACCCAGGAAGGACCCAGGGAAGUUGGGGAGUCCCCCCAGGAAGGCCUGGUGAGGCUGGGGACUCCCCCUGGAAGGCCUGGGGAGACCGGGGACUUCCCCAAAAAGGCCUGGGGAGGCUGGGGAUCCCCCAGGAAGGCCUGGAAGAGCCAGAAAGUGGAGGUGGGAGGAAGUGCUGAUACCAAGAUAUGGCCCACGUGAUGCCACCUGCGUGACUGGACAUGAAGCCUGGCAGGUCGUGUCUGUGUCUUCAUCCCCUGUAAUCGGGCACUGGUGUUGAGGUGCAUUCCUCUUGAAGAGGUGGCUUACCUGAGUAAGGAGCUGGAAUCCUGGACCACUUGCCUCAGCUGCGUGGUUUUCCACGGUGUCCGGGGAAGCCCUCAGCAGGCGUCAGGAAAAAGCAACAGGGAAGAUCUUCUAGGAUUUAACCUAAAUGGGGAAUAUUCAAGAGUAUCCAAUGGUCUUGGUAGAAGAUAAUGAAAUUUUCCGCCAAGGUGAUUCUGCCAAUUUCUGUUCCUACCCUGUGUGUACAAGAGUUGCCACUUUUUCAUGUUCUUGCUAACAAUUAGAAUUAUCAGGUUUUUUUAUUUUUAUGUUUUGCUGCACUACACAGCUUUUGGGAUCUUACUUCCCUGACUGAGGAUUGAACCCAGGCCCUGGCAGUGAAAGCGCUGAGUCCUAAACACUGGACUGCUAGGGAAUUACUUAGAAUUAUCAGUUUUUUAGGGCUUCUCUAGUAGCUCAGACAGUACAGCAUCCGCCUGCAAUGCAGGAGACCAGAGUUCAAUCCCUGGGUUGGAAAGAUCCCCCUGGAGAAGGCAAUAGCAACCCACUCCAGUAUUCUUGCCUGAAGAAUUCCAUGGACAGAGGAGUCUGGUGGGGGACAGUCCACAGAGUCACAAAGAGUCAGACACAACUGAGUGACUAACACAGACACACAAAAACGUCAGUUUUUUAAGUGUGUGUUAGUUUGGUGGGUGAAUACUGGUAUCCUGUUGUCAUAAUAUUCUUUCUUCUCUUUUGCCUUUAUUAUAAAAAAUAUACACUAAAAGGAAGGAGGCAAUUUGACAAAUCCCUGUAUACCUAUCACCCAGUUUCAACAAUUACCAGCUCAGAGAUAAGCUUCUAUUAACAAUAACCCUACACAUAAAUUACCUCCAGAUCCUUUGAAGCAAAACCUAGGUGUUAUUUUAUUUCUAAAUAUUUAAGUAUGUCUCUCUAAAUUAUUAGAAGUUUUUUUUAAAAAAGAUAUGACCACAAUAUAACAGUAUCUUUUAAAGAAGUUUUAUUUUUUAAUGUAAACACUGCUAUUUGCAGUUUGCGCUUUUUGUGUCUUCUUUGGGAAAUCUUCCCUACUCUUGUAUUUUCUUAUAGAAGUAUUUUACAUUUGGUUCUUUAAUCCAGCUGGAUGUCUGGAUGUUUGUUUGGGUUUGUUUUUGUUGCUCCCGAUUUGUAAGUCAGAGAACCAUUUCCCCCCAUUUGAACAGCCAGUCUUUACUGGCGUCCUUCCUCCCCCACUGACUGUGCUGUCUCUGGUGUUUCUGUCAUAUAUCACACGCCUAGGUUCUCCAGGCUCCUUCCUUCAUCUGUUCAUGUACCCUGUGUCAGUGGCACCCUGGCUUACUUACCGUGGUUGUUAGUAAACCUCAAUAAUUUACAGUCAGCUCUUCCCACUUCUUUCAUUCCUCAGAAUCACUUCAACGCUUUCCGUUCCUUUAUUCUUUCAUAUGAAUUGUUUAUUCAGUUAUUGUCAGAUUCCAGGAAUGGGCCAAUUAGUAUUUUUAUUGGACUUACAUUGAGUUGAGAGAUUAAUGUGGAAAGAAUAGAUGUUUUAAUAUUUUGUAAAAAUGUUAUAACUCCAUUUCUUUGUCUUUAAAUGUAUUUCAAUAAACUUUGUAUAAAUCUUU